CCUCCGGGUGGCAGCAGUGGGGAAUAUUGCACAAUGGGGGAAACCCUGAUGCAGCGACGCCGCGUGAGUGAAGAAGUAUUUCGGUAUGUAAAGCUCUAUCAGCAGGGAAGAUAAUGACGGUACCUGACUAAGAAGCCCCGGCUAACUACGUGCCAGCAGCCGCGGUAAUACGUAGGGGGCAAGCGUUAUCCGGAUUUACUGGGUGUAAAGGGAGCGUUGGUGGGAGGGCAAGUCAGAUGUGAAAACCCGGGGCUCAACCCCUGAACUGCUUUGGAAACUGUGCAGCUAGAGUGCAGGAGAGGUAAGUGGAAUUCCUAGUGUAGCGGUGAAAUGCGUAGAUAUUAGGAGGAACACCAGUGGCGAAGGCGGCUUACUGGACUGUAACUGACGUUGAGGCUCGAAAGCGUGGGGAGCAAACAGGAUUAGAUACCCUGGUAGUC
rnacentral:rRNA from 1 species